rnacentral:lncRNA from 1 species
CUUGCCUGCCUAUCUGAUUCCCCAGACUGAAGUGGGGGCCUCUGAGGGGGUAAAAGGAUGUGGUCUUUCAGGACUGCUUGGCCUUUAGCUUGGUGGGUAGAGCCUGUAUCCUACCUUGUUUUAACCCAGGAGUCACCCCAAAAUAUGGGGGGGACACAAACUGAAAAGGGAGGCUCAGACGUGUCAGAACCGUUGGACCUCAGCCUCCAGAGUAGCUAGGAUUACAGGUGUGCGUCACCACACCUGGUUAAUUUUUUGUGUAUUUUUAGUAGACUCUGGGUUUCACCAUGUUGGCCACACUGGUCUCGAACUCCUAACCUCAAGGACUGGGGGAACUUGGAUGUUGGCAGAAGUGGGCUGGUUUAAGGUUCCCCACCUUCCUUGUUCCACCUCCAGCCUCUGGGGAUGUAGGUACCUGCCUGGGAGAGUGACAUCUCAGCUCGUGCCCCACGCCCCAGUGUGAUUUGUGGCUGGCCUGUCUGUAUCUGCAAUAAUGAUAGCUUGGUCUAAAAGGAGACCCUGGGAACAGACAGAGUGGGCCGGCCAGGAGCCUGACAGCACAGCCCUAGCCUGGUCGCAGAUGUCACCUGACAACUUUCCAUUUGCAAAUCCUCCUUCCUCCUCGGACAUCCGGACACCCCAUUGCCCCCUCUCAGAGCCCAGGUCUCUGGUUUCUGCCUGUGAUUCUGGGCUGUAGCCCCUUUAGAAACUCAGGUGUCCUGGUCACCUCCUACCCCCAGGGCUGACUAGCCUUCAGCUUGGCAGUCCCUGCCCCUGGGGCCCUGGUAACCAGAGCCAGGCUCCAGCCGGCUUUUCCGGUUAGAGGUUG